GUCACUGUGGUGCAGAGGUUAGCAUGUGUGCUUGGCACCGCCAAGGUUGCAGGUUUGAAUCUUGUCCUCAACA